AUCUUAUCAAGGUUAAACAUAUUUUAAUAUUCAUUAAAAUAUUCUACGGACUACUUUUAAAUAGUAGUAAAAGAAAUUUCUAGAAGUUUCAGGAUAAACAUAAAUUUUUUCCCUAUACCACAAAUUUUUUUAGAAAAAUUACAUUUCCACAAAUAGCCAGAAAUUUCUGGAUAAACUAAGAUCAAAGUAAAUUAUGACAAAUUUGUUUAACUGGUACACAAAAGUGCUAAACUUUCGGAUAGUAUUAGAGAAAAAUGAUGGAAAAUUCUAGUAAAAUUUGUAAUAUCGUCAUUUGAUAUUCGGCAAGCUUCUCAUCGAUGUAAUCUUGCGAUUGAUUCGCAAUAAUUUCGGCAGUCGACGGUCCAAAUUCCUCUUCAUCAUCGUAGAUGACAUAGGACUUGGGCUGCGGUGGCUCCAAUGGCACGCCAACAAAA